rnacentral:lncRNA from 1 species
UUAAAUCUGUGCUCUAGUGGAUGUGGCAGACCCCUGGGCUAACAGCCCAAGGGACACACCUCAAUGGCCCCCACCUGUGUCCAUAUCAGCACGCAUGGACCAGCUCAGAACAACGGCCCCCACCAAUGUCUCAGUCUCUGGAGAGGAUCCUCCUCUCACCAAAAUGCCCCCAGAGCCCACCAGGAGCAGAUGUGUCAAUUAGCUUGAAAAGAAAGCUGAGGACAAGAAGCUCUUAUCCAGUUCUCCAUUUGGGACACUUGGAAAAGACUGCAGUAAAAAAGGACCCUGUGUCUCCAUGAGGUGGAAUGUUAUGUUUAUGGGAUGGAGAAAAAGGGCCAUAAGUAAAUAGAGUCUGGAAUGAUCUCCCACGCUUCUCUUGCUUCCUAUGUGGCAAGAAACUGCUGUGGAGGAGUGGCAAGUCUGGGCCAAGGAUCCAGAUGGAAGAAGUGGCAAAGAGUCUGAAACACAGCAAGGGCUGAGUAAUCAGAGAGUUGUUGAUUGAGCAGAGAAAAAUUACAUUUGUGUUCAUCAGCCCCAGAUGUCAGCAGCAAAAGCCAACAGAAAAUCCUGAGAAAGGACCAACCAACCAAGUAAUGCAGCAGACACCCACUCUGCAGUGGUCUGAAAACCACCCCCAGUACGCAGUUGCAUAUUAUAGUUGUGAGUGCCUCUGGUUGCGCUUUCUGGGACGCCGCCUCAACACGACCUGAUGAGCCGUGCCAUGUCCACGCCCUGGAUCCGAACUAGCAAACCCCGGGCUGCUGAAGCGAGCGCGCGAACUUAACCCCUUCGCCACAGGGCAGGCACCAUCUUU